GACGAACGCUGGCGGCGUGCUUAACACAUGCAAGUCGAACGGAAAGGCCCUGCUUUUGUGGGGUGCGCGAGUGGCGAACGGGUGAGUAACACGUGAGUAACCUGCCCUUGACUUUGGGAUAACUUCAGGAACUGGGGCUAAUACCGGAUAGGAACUCCUUCUGCAUGGUGGGGGUUGGAAAGUUUCGGCGGUUGGGGAUGGACUCGCGGCUUAUCAGCUUGUUGGUGGGGUAGUGGCUUACCAAGGCUUUGACGGGUAGCCGGCCUGGGAGGGUGACCGGCCACCUUGGGACUGAGAUACGGCCCAGACUCCUACGGGAGGCAGCAGUGGGAAAUAUUGCACAAUGGGCGGAAGCCUGAUGCAGCAACGCCGCGUGCGGGAUGACGGCCUUCGGGUUGUAAACCGCUUUCGCCUGUGACGAAGCGUGAGUGACGGUAAUGGGUAAAGAAGCAACGGCUAACUACGUG
rnacentral:rRNA from 1 species